GCAGUUGAUUCCUUGAAAUCUCACAGAUCUAACGUGUAAUUUUCUAAUAAUCAACGGGCGUCGGUGAUGUCGGCGUUUGCAGUAGCAAAUACCACUGAAGUAUCAAGAAAAGUCUGCAGUCUGUUGCUGCAUCUUUUGGUUGUUUAUUGUUAUGUAAUUCCCAUUUCCGAUGCCAGUUUGGCUGAUGAUCAACAAUCCAAAGAACCAAUAGUACCUCCAAGUAGAGCACCUGCAGCUUCACCAGCUAUUCCUGAUCUGCCUCUGCCAGCCAACCUGCCAAUGUUUCAUAAAUCACGAAGAAAACAUUUAUCGCCACUUGGUGCACCAUCAAUCGUGGUACCACCUGCCAGACCUCCUAAUUAUGACCCAUUAAUAACUUCUGGUCACCCCCCUACUAGUUCACGUUUGUCAAAACCAAUGAAGAAGAAUGCUUUAGUGCCUUCUAGUGUUGGAUUGAUAGACAUUGCACCAACGCAAUCCAGUGCUGGUGCAAAUGCUACUGGUUUAGCUGAGCCACCU
rnacentral:misc_RNA from 1 species